rnacentral:rRNA from 1 species
CAGCAGCCACGGUAAAACGUAGGUGGCAAGCGUUGUCCGGAAUUAUUGGGCGUAAAGGGCUCGCAGGCGGUUUCUUAAGUCUGAUGUGAAAGCCCCCGGCUCAACCGGGGAGGGCCAUUGGAAACUGGGAAACUUGAGUGCAGAAGAGGAGAGUGGAAUUCCACGUGUAGCGGUGAAAUGCGUAGAGAUGUGGAGGAACACCAGUGGCGAAGGCGACUCUCUGGUCUGUAACUGACGCUGAGGAGCGAAAGCGUGGGGAGCGAACAGGAUUAGAUACCCGUGUAGUCCCUGUCUCUUAUAC